rnacentral:rRNA from 1 species
AGAGUUUGAUCAUGGCUCAGGACGAACGCUGGCGGCGUGCUUAACACAUGCAAGUCGAACGGUAAGGCCCUUCGGGGUACACGAGUGGCGAACGGGUGAGUAACACGUGGGUAAUCUGCCCUGCACAUCGGGAUAAGCCUGGGAAACUGGGUCUAAUACCGAAUAGGACCACAGGACACAUGUCCUGUGGUGGAAAGCUUUUGCGGUGUGGGAUGGGCCCGCGGCCUAUCAGCUUGUUGGUGGGGUAAUGGCCUACCAAGGCGACGACGGGUAGCCGGCCUGAGAGGGUGUCCGGCCACACUGGGACUGAGAUACGGCCCAGACUCCUACGGGAGGCAGCAGUGGGGAAUAUUGCACAAUGGGCGCAAGCCUGAUGCAGCGACGCCGCGUGAGGGAUGACGGCCUUCGGGUUGUAAACCUCUUUCAAUAGGGACGAAGCGCAAGUGACGGUACCUAUAGAAGAAGGACCGGCCAACUACGUGCCAGCAGCCGCGGUAAUACGUAGGGUGCAAGCGUUAAUCGGAAUUACUGGGCGUAAAGCGUGCGCAGGCGGUUUUGUAAGUCUGACGUGAAAUCCCCGGGCUCAACCUGGGAAUUGCGUUGGAGACUGCAAGGCUAGAAUCUGGCAGAGGGGGGUAGAAUUCCACGUGUAGCAGUGAAAUGCGUAGAGAUGUGGAGGAACACCGAUGGCGAAGGCAGCCCCCUGGGUCAAGAUUGACGCUCAUGCACGAAAGCGUGGGGAGCAAACAGGAUUAGAUACCCUGGUAGUCCAA